GAAAUGCGAUAAGUAAUGUGAAUUGCAGAACUCAGUGAAUCAUCGAAUCUUUGAACGCACAUUGCGCCCGCCAGUAUUCUGGCGGGCAUGCCUGUUCGAGCGUCAUUACAACCCUCAGGCCCCCGGGCCUGGCGUUGGGGAUCGGCGGAAGCCCCCUGCGGGCACAACGCCGUCCCCCAAAUACAGUGGCGGUCCCGCCGCAGCUUCCAUUGCGUAGUAGCUAACACCUCGCAACUGGAGAGCGGCGCGGCCACGCCGUAAAACACCCAACUUCUGAAUGUUGACCUCGAAUCAGGUAGGAAUACCCGCUGAACUUAAGC
rnacentral:misc_RNA from 1 species